UACGUAGGGGGCAAGCGUUGUCCGGAUUCAUUGGGCGUAAAGAGCGUGUAGGCGGCCAGGUAGGUCGGUUGUGAAAACUGGAGGCUCAACCUUCAGAGGUCGACCGAAACCAUCUGGCUAGAGUCCGGAAGAGGAGAAUGGAAUUCCCGGUGUAGCGGUGAAAUGCGCAGAUAUCGGGAAGAACACCCGUGGCGAAGGCGGUUCUCUGGGACGGUACUGACGCUGAGACGCGAAAGCGUGGGGAGCGAACAGG
rnacentral:rRNA from 1 species